rnacentral:tRNA from 1 species
GCGUCGCGUGGCGCAACGCGGCAUCGUUUCAGUCGAUGUUCAGCGCGUGCCCGAACGUUUCCGGUUCGGCGCA